rnacentral:rRNA from 1 species
GACGAACGCUGGCGGCGUGCCUAAUACAUGCAAGUCGAGCGAUGAAGAUUUGUGCUUGCACCAAUUUGAAGAGCAGCGAACGGGUGAGUAACGCGUGGGGAAUCUGCCUUUGAGCGGGGGACAACAUUCGGAAACGAAUGCUAAUACCGCAUAACAACUUUAAAAAUAAGUUUCAAGGUUGAAAGAUGCAAUUGCAUCACUCAAAGAUGAUCCCGCGUUGUAUUAGCUAGCUGGUUGGGUAAAGGCUCACCAAGGCGAUGAUACAUAGCCGACCUGGGAGGGUGGUCCGCCAAAUUGGGACUGGGGCACGGCCCCAGCUCCUACGGGGGGCCGCCGUAGGGGAUCUUCGGACAUGGAGGGAAGGCCGGCCGAGCCACGCCGCGUGGGUGGAGGAGGUUUUCCGGUCGUAAAACUCUGUUGGUAAGGAAGGACGUUGGUGAGAGUGGAAAGCUCAUCAAGUGACGGUAACUACCCAGAAAGCGACGGCUAACUACGUG